GAUGAACGCUGGCGGCGUGCCUAAUACAUGCAAGUCGAGCGAACGGACGAGAAGCUUGCUUUUCUGAUGUUAGCGGCGGACGGGUGAGUAACACGUGGAUAACCUACCUAUAAGACUGGGAUAACUUCGGGAAACCGGAGCUAAUACCGGAUAAUAUUUUGAACCGCAUGGUUCAAAAGUGAAAGACGGUCUUGCUGUCACUUAUAGAUGGAUCCGCGCUGCAUUAGCUAGUUGGUAAGGUAACGGCUUACCAAGGCAACGAUGCAUAGCCGACCUGAGAGGGGGAGCGGCCAAACGGAAACGGAGAACGGGUCCAAACCCCUACGGGAGGCAGCAGUAGGGAACUUUCCGCAAUGGGCGAAAGCCUGAGGGGGCAACGCCGGGUGGGGGAUGAAGGUUUUCGGAUCGGAAAACUCUUUUAUUGGGGAAAAAAAAUUGGGAAAGUAAAUGGGAAAAUCUUGACGGUACCAAAGAAAAAAGCCACGGCUAACUACGG
rnacentral:rRNA from 1 species